rnacentral:rRNA from 1 species
UGGGGAAUAUUGCACAAUGGGGGAAACCCUGAUGCAGCGACGCCGCGUGAGCGAAGAAGGCUUUCGAGUCGUAAAGCUCUGUCCUAUGAGAAGAUAAUGACGGUAUCAUAGGAGGAAGCCCUGGCUAAAUACGUGCCAGCAGCCGCGGUAAUACGUAUGGGGCGAGCGUUGUCCGGAAUUAUUGGGCGUAAAGGGUACGUAGGCGGUUUUUUAAGUCAGGUGUCAAAGCGUGGAGCUUAACUCCAUUAAGCACUUGAAACUGAAAGACUUGAGUGAAGGGGAGGAAAGUGGAAUUCCUAGUGUAGCGGUGAAAUGCGUAGAUAUUAGGAGGAAUACCGGUGGCGAAGGCGACUUUCUGGACUUUUACUGACGCUCAGGUACGAAAGCGUGGGGAGCAAACAGG